rnacentral:lncRNA from 1 species
CCGUCCUCCUCUGGGUACCAACUCUAUUGCGCAGCUCGCUGCCGUGCGUUUAACCCAGGCGAGGAGGAGGAGGAGAAAAUUUCCCAGACUCGGGCAGGCCCGCACCCCGCAUCCCGUCCUGUUUUGAGAGGAGGAGGGAAGAGAAAUAAACGUGGCAGCGCAUAGAAGGCCAGCGGAGAGGUUGGGAAAGGGUAACCAGGAGGCGGGGGUGGGGCAUGCAAUUUGGUAACAAUCUGGGCCGUACACUCCCACCCUGACCUCCCCCACCACCGCCCCCGCACCCUCCCAUCACCCAGCCGACCCUCUGUGCUUUGGGAGUGCUGGGAAAUGGGUGUACCAGCUGCUGUUGGAGAGAUGGCGGGUUUGGCGCUGUCUGGGCUUCACGCGAGGUGGGGGUGGCGGGGACCCUGAGAGAAUCUGGUAUUAAACCGCCUUGUUAACUCGCAGACUGCUUUCCAGACACCUCCGGCCCACACAGCCGUUCACCCCCCGUCUUUUCAGUCCUGGAAAAGGAAUUCGGGCUUUCAUUGUCUAACGGCGACAGGCUAUAUUUCUGCUCUUCAGUCUGUCCUUAGGAUGAAUCUCUAACUGAACUGAAGUAAGGAGAAACAGCCUUGAAUCUUUGGAGGUCAGUGUUGGGGUUGGAAUUGUCUGGGGCCCCCAGGUGUGGGUGUGGCAGAGACCAGAGCAGAGUAUGGGACCAGAGGCUCCUCCUGCAUCUUCUCUCUUUUAACUUAAAAGACACCCUUGCCCCUUUCCCCGGGCCCUUUCUUUUUGGUGCAGAGAAAGGGGCGUGGCAUCUGCCUUAGUUAAUAUUUGGGGGAGGAAAGGUUGAAGAGGAAAAAAGGAUCCCUGAGAGGGGGAAAACUUUUGACCCACAGGGUUUCAAAUCAGGAAAAGAACCAGAAUUUGUCCACCAAAGGCUCAAAAACACCCUUUCUGAUCUGUCCUCAGGUCUGUCUUCCCUUUGGGCUCUGUGCAACUGCAGCUACAGUGGAAAAAAGCAAACUACUCUUGAUCCCAGGAGGCCCUGCCUAAGCCUCAGCAGAACUUGUAAGCCUAAACUGAAGAGCCUCACCCGGAGGAGCAGGCAUCCCUUAACCUUAAGCAAGCCACUUCCACGCCCUGGAUCAG